UAAAUUGGAGGCGUUUGCCAACCGGGUCGCCUAAUCCUGAGGAGCUCCAAGGGAAAAGAAGGGACGUGCUGAAAAUGUAGUUGGACGCGCGGCCAGGGUUCGGAAUUAAGCCUCUAAUUUUAGAUUAGAUUUCACAAGUUAAUCGUCGGAUGUGGUUGAAACUGCAGCCAGAAUGGAAAAAUCGCUAGCGGCGAAAACCAGCGCGA